rnacentral:rRNA from 1 species
AUUGAACGCUGGCGGCAGGCUUAACACAUGCAAGUCGAGCGAGCGGCGGACGGGUGAGUAAUGUCUGGGAAACUGCCUGAUGGAGGGGGAUAACUACUGGAAACGGUAGCUAAUACCGCAUACCAUCAGAUGUGCCCAGAUGGGAUUAGCUAGUAGGUGGGGUAAUGGCUCACCUAGGCGACGAUCCCUAGCUGGUCUGAGAGGAUGACCAGCCACACGGGAACAGAGACACGGGCCAGACUCCUACGGCAGGCAGCAGUGGGGAAUAGGGCGCAAUGGGCGCAAGCAUGACGCAGCCAGGCCGCGUGUAUGAAGAAGGCCUUCGGGUUGGAAUGUACUUUCAGCGGGGAGGCGUUAGCCGCAGAAGAAGCACCGGCUAACUCCGUGCCAGCAGCCGCGGUAAUAC